rnacentral:rRNA from 1 species
UACGUAGGUGGCAAGCGUUGUCCGGAUUUACUGGGCGUAAAGAGCGCGCAGGCGGUCGUUCAAGUCGCGUGUGAAAGCCCCCGGCUCAACUGGGGAGGGUCACGCGAUACUGAUCGACUCGAAGGCAGGAGAGGGAAGUGGAAUUCCCGGUGUAGCGGUGAAAUGCGCAGAUAUCAGGAGGAACACCGAUGGCGAAGGCGGGUCUCUGGGCAGUAACUGACGCUGAGGAGCGAAAGCGUGGGGAGCGAACAGG